rnacentral:rRNA from 1 species
CAAAACGACUCUCGGCAACGGAUAUCUCGGCUCUCGCAUCGAUGAAGAACGUAGCGAAAUGCGAUACUUGGUGUGAAUUGCAGAAUCCCGUGAACCAUCGAGUCUUUGAACGCAAGUUGCGCCCUAAGCCGUUUGGCCGAGGGCACGUCUGCCUGGGCGUCAAU